rnacentral:rRNA from 1 species
AACGAACGCUGGCGGCAUGCCUAACACAUGCAAGUCGAACGAGACCUUCGGGUCUAGUGGCGCACGGGUGCGUAACGCGUGGGAACCUGCCCUUAGGUUCGGAAUAACUCCCCGAAAGGGGUGCUAAUACCGGAUAAUGUCUUCGGACCAAAGAUUUAUCGCCUUUGGAUGGGCCCGCGUUGGAUUAGCUAGUUGGUAGGGUAAAAGCCUACCAAGGCGACGAUCCAUAGCUGGGCUGAGAGGAUGAUCAGCCACACUGGGACUGAGACACGGCCCAGACUCCUACGGGAGGCAGCAGUGGGGAAUAUUGGACAAUGGGCGAAAGCCUGAUCCAGCAAUGCCGCGUGAGUGAUGAAGGCCUUAGGGUUGUAAAGCUCUUUUACCCGGGAUGAUAAUGACAGUACCGGGAGAAUAAGCGCCGGCUAACUCCGUG